UACGUAGGGGGCAAGCGUUGUCCGGAAUCAUUGGGCGUAAAGCGCGCGUAGGCGGCCCGAUAAGUCCGCUGUAAAAGUCAACGGCUCAACUGUUGAACGCCGGUGGAUACUGUCGGGCUAGAGUCCGGAAGGGGAGAGUGGAAUUCCUGGUGUAGCGGUGAAAUGCGUAGAUAUCGGGAGGAACACCAGUGGCGAAGGCGACUACCUGGCCUGUUCUUGACGCUGAGGCGCGAAAGCUAGGGGAGCAAACGGG
rnacentral:rRNA from 1 species